GGGGGCGACAGGUUUCGACGGCGUGUGGAGGAUCUGGAGGAGCAGGCCGAGUUACGUCCGUAAUCCUCGUUAAACAUUCGGGCAAGACGAUAAACGUCGACAAUAACUACGCACUGGCGGCUUAAGCCUGCCACGUUGAAGGAUGGGCUCCUCCGCCGGCCCGCCGGAGACGUCAUUUCAGGUGGAUGCUCCGCUUCGCGUCGGAUCUCGCCGGGGUGGAAAAGAUCAGAGGUCUUGGAAAGAGGAAGGCCGUUCUCUGCCUAACCUUGGACGACAAUUAAAAGAGAACUAAGCCUGUAGUGCCGCCACGGUCGGCCCAUGUCGGACGGGGGUUCGAUUCCCCCCGCCUCCACCA
rnacentral:tmRNA from 1 species